CCUCCUGUAUGAGCUGUUGCUGUUGUGUUUUCAUGCAUCUUCAGUCCUAACCAAUCGCUGCCAAUCUCUGUGUGUGAUGCAACAGGCUAAAUUAGUUCCAGCCCCCUUCUCCAUAUUUGUGGACACAUGACUCACAAACAUGGAGAAGGGGGCUGGAACUAAACACACACACACACUCUCACACACACACUAGAGAGCUCCAGACCACCGUGGCGACAUGAGUGGUGACUGGAGUCCUGCGUUGUUCUGUUCAUAGCUCGCGCACGGCGCACAAGGCCAGUAGAGGCAUUGUGUUUAGCUAUCGCUAGCUCACGCACGGCGCACAAGGCACAGUAGAGGCAUUGUGUUUAGCUAUCGCUAGGCGAAUGGGAAUCAGUGCAGCUGUUGCUCUGUUGUUAGCCAGUGCUAAGUGAGCGCUGGAGCUACAGGGAGGGCUGGAGCUGUGUGGGGUGGUGUGGAGGACCUGCUCCACUGACUGCUCAGACAGAAAUAGCACAUGAGCGAGCGUGUCCAUUUCCACUGGCUGCCACUCAACACCAGCCCCACGCAGAGCCGCGUACGCGACAGGCUAACCUUGCGCGCUAACCUCGCACGCUAGCCUCGCUAGCCUCCUCCUGCUUCAAAGCAGCUGCUGCAGCAGGCCUUUCGCUUUCUCAAAACUGGCCAACCGAUGAGAAGAGACUGCUCCCGGUAACCGUGGGAAACUAUCUAUCUCGGAAUACUCUUCAAUGCCCCCCAUUCCACCAUGGAACCCUGCACAAGAAUGAAAAGGGAGGCGAUGAGGUAGUGGUCUGCUGAGCUCUUAACAGUCUGACCGAAGAGCACACGUGUGUGUGUGUGUGUGUGUGUGUGUGUGUGU